UAAAAGAAACGUCAGGGAUAACAGCCUGAAGUAGCCCCUAUCUUCUUCCAGGACCUCGAUGUCGACUCUUUCUUCCUUCUUACCCAAAGACAGUAAGCUAGUUGUGGUCUGUUCGACCCAUAAAAGAUCACGUGAGUUGGGUUUAGAUCCUUGUAAAAGAGGUCUGAUUCUAUCUUCUUCCCUUAGUUUCCCUUUCUAUCCUCUUGUACGUAAGGACCAAGG
rnacentral:rRNA from 16 species